rnacentral:rRNA from 1 species
GAUGAACGCUAGCGGCAUGCUUAACACAUGCAAGUCGGACGGGAAACACGGGACACGGUGUUUCCAGUGGCGGACGGGUGAGUAACGCGUAAGAAACUGCCCUCGGUAGGGGAACAAAAGCUGGAAAAGGCUGCUAAUAACCCGUUAGCUGAGGAGCCAACGGAGGAAUCCGCCCGAGGAGGGGCUGGCGUCUGAUUAGCUAGCUGGGGACGCAUUAGCUUACCAAGGAGAUGAUCAGUAACUGGACCGUGCGGAUGGUCAGCCACACUGGGACUGAGACACGGGCCAGACUCCUGCGUGUUGCAGCAGUGGUGAGUUUCCCGCCAUGGGAGACAGCCUGACGGAGCACUGCCGCGUGGGUGGAGAAGUCCUACUGGUCGGGAACUUCUCUUCCCGGAUAUGAGUCAAUGACGGUAUCUGGAGAAUAAGCAUCGGCUAACUCUGUG